rnacentral:rRNA from 1 species
UACAGAGGGUGCAAGCGUUAAUCGGAAUUACUGGGCGUGAAGCGUGCGUAGACGGUUAUGUAAGUCAGAUGUGAAAGCCCCGGGCUCAACCUGGGAAUUGCAUUUGAGACUGCAUAGCUAGGGUGCGGAAGAGGGAAGCGGAAUUUCCGGUGUAGCGGUGAAAUGCGUAAAUAUCGGAAGGAACACCAGUGGCGAAAGCGGCUUCCUGGUCCAGCACCGACGUUCAGGCACGAAAGCGUGGGGAGCAAACAGG